rnacentral:lncRNA from 1 species
CAUGCUCCUUAGCAAAGGGGACAUGAACUGAGAAGUGUGCAUCAGGCAGGUUUGCUGUCGUGCAAACGUCACAGACACAGAUGUCACUUACACACACUAGGCCGGCGACGUUGGCACGAGGUGAUCCGAUUCCACGGGACCACUGACAUGGCACGGUGACCCGCCUAAGAAUGGACAUUGAUGGUUGAUGUGCAGUGUGGGACCCUGACAGAAGGCCCCAUGCAGAAGUCAAAUGUUACAGGUCAGUGUUUUCCCAUCUGGGGACGUCCUGAGGAUGUGGCAGCAGCUCUUGCCCUGAAGGUAAAUGAGAAGGGGACCCCGAGGCUGGGAAACCUGAGAAGUCAGGCGGGCAGGAAGAGGUGGUUUUGAGAAACUUAUGGUGACAAACCAGGAAAACCUCAGACGUUUGCACAUGGGGGUCCCAGGGGAAGCCGAAGU